rnacentral:rRNA from 1 species
UGCAAGUCGUACGCUUCUUUUUCCACCGGAGCUUGCUCCACCGGAAAAAGAAGAGUGGCGAACGGGUGAGUAACACGUGGGUAACCUGCCCAUCAGAAGGGGAUAACACUUGGAAACAGGUGCUAAUACCGUAUAACAAUCGAAACCGCAUGGUUUUGAUUUGAAAGGCGCUUUCGGGUGUCGCUGAUGGAUGGACCCGCGGUGCAUUAGCUAGUUGGUGAGGUAACGGCUCACCAAGGCCACGAUGCAUAGCCGACCUGAGAGGGUGAUCGGCCACAUUGGGACUGAGACACGGCCCAAACUCCUACGGGAGGCAGCAGUAGGGAAUCUUCGGCAAUGGACGAAAGUCUGACCGAGCAACGCCGCGUGAGUGAAGAAGGUUUUCGGAUCGUAAAACUCUGUUGUUAGAGAAGAACAAGGAUGAGAGUAACUGUUCAUCCCUUGACGGUAUCUAACCAGAAAGCCACGGCUAACUACGUGCCAGCAGCCGCGGUAAUACGUAGGUGGCAAGCGUUGUCCGGAUUUAUUGGGCGUAAAGCGAGCGCAGCGGUU